ACUCCUGCCAAGGAAAGUAAGGAGAAAGGUGUGGGGGGAGAUGUGGUGGAAAGGGUCCAGCUAUGUCAGGAUCCAUUUGUGAUGCUACCACAAUCUAACCAGUCCCUCAAGCAGAGCACAGAUGAACCUAAUGAAGGGGAAAGAACCAUAGCUGCUGCUGUUGUGGCCUUGAGGGGUGCCCCCUCCAUACCCAUUGAAUGGCUGACCCAAUGAGGAUGAGAGAGAAGACUAGGGAGGAUAUGUUCAGCGCCAACAUGGCGGAUGGCAUGGAGAGGAACAGAGAGGAUCGGAGAAAAUGAAGAAAGAUCCAUGAAUCCCAGCAGGAAAAGGAGAGGAAAAGGAAGAUGCACUAGGACAUAAACGGCUUCUCAGGCAGCAAACACAAAUAAUGUAGUCUCUGGGUGACGAUCUUACAGGUUCAGUAAUCACAGACUUGCCAUCUUUUACAGUCUCUGGAGAAUUCCAUGGUGGCAGCUCCCCGUACCUUCAACAUUCCACAUGGCAUCAUGGGCCACAUCCCUACUCCUACAACUUAACUCCAGAGAAGAAAGACAGUUCUACAGCUUCAUCUACACUGAUCUGGGAGAGGCACAGUUGGUGUAUAUGUAGCCAAAAUGGACUUCAUUUGUGCGGAGAAAUGGGCAGAAAUGUUUGCUGCCUCUCUAAUGUUAAAGUUGUUCCAUUAAUUUAAAUUAGAAGUUUGUAUUGUCCUUUAUUUGCA